CACAUACUCCCUCCGUUCGAAAUUACUUGUCGCAGAAAUGGAUGUAUCUAGACAUAUUUUAGUUCUAGAUACAUCCAUUUUCGAGACAAGUAAUUCCGAACGGAAGGAGUACAAU
rnacentral:pre_miRNA from 1 species